GUCCUAAAAUUUUUCGAUAUUAUUCUGGUUAAAGUUAUUUUCUAAAAUAAGUAUAUAUACUUUAGUUAUACAAAAAUGAUAUUUAUUAUGACAAAAGAUUAUAUAAUAUAGUUUAUGAAUUUAAUAAGAAAAUUCUAUAUUUUUACUAUAUGAUUUUUAGUUGAGAUCCAAUGUUGAAGUAUAUGAGUCAAAAUUAACUUAAAAACUUGAAAAUAGUCAAGGUUUGACAUUUUGACAUCCAAAAUAAGGAAGAAAAAGAAAUGAAGAAAGCUGAUGUUCAGCUUCCCCAAACCAACACAACCGACCACCCCCACCACUCUUCUUCUUUCUUCUCUACUAUUGUCUUCCACCAUGCUCCCCAAGGUGUUGAACCACCAAUCCUCAAUAAAGCCACCUCCAUUUUGUCUCCUAAAUUCAGCUAUAAAUAACCAUGAAUUGAGUAUUGAGAUAUCAAAACAAAACCAACAAAGUUUCUUAUUUUUCUUCUCUGUUCCUAUGUUGUGCUCGGCCUGUUGUGCCACCAUAACCAUCACCAGCACACCACCGGUGCGCCGCCCAGAUGCGAUGCACCAUUGCAGCUUUGCUGCACCUCCCAGGACCCCUUCUUUCUUCACUCGCCUCCUUCGCUUCGACUGGGCUACUGCUGCUCAUUCGUCCCUUUUGCUCGGUUCUCCACCAAGGAACACCGUCGACAUUAUGUCGCGUGCCUGAUACCUACUCUCGCCGGAGUUCUAUUUUCCCCUGCUCUCUCUCUCCUCUACUACGUUCGAUGCUGUUUUCGCUGCUCACCGGAGUUUGAAGGUCGACGAACACCACCGGGAUUCUGCUGACGAUUAAGAAUUUGAUUCUUCAAGAUUGAAGAUCUAGAAAUGUAGUUAUUUUAUUUAGAAUUUUUUUUAUUUUUUUUUGUUUAAGAUUUAUCAUAUUUUAAUUGUAUUAGUUGUAUUUGAUUUUAAGUAUAUCAGAUUUUUUUUAUUAUAUCUAUCAAAGUUAUUGUAUUAUUUUUGGAAGCACAUAUGUAAUGUUUUACAAAUUGAUAAAUGAAAUGUUUACUUUAUUA